rnacentral:rRNA from 1 species
UUGUUGGUAAGGUAAAAGCUUACCAAGGCUUCGAUCAGUAGCUGGUCUGAGAGGACGGCCAGCCACACUGGGACUGAGACACGGCCCAGACUCCUACGGGAGGCAGCAGUGGGGAAUUUUGGACAAUGGGGGCAACCCUGAUCCAGCCAUGCCGCGUGAGUGAAGAAGGCCUUCGGGUUGUAAAGCUCUUUCAGCCGGAACGAAACGGUUACGGUUAAUACCCGUGACUACUGACGGUACCGGAAGAAGAAGCACCGGCUAACUACGUGCCAGCAGCCGCGGUAAUACGUAGGGUGCGAGCGUUAAUCGGAAUUACUGGGCGUAAAGCGUGCGCAGGUGGUUUUGUAAGUCAGAUGUGAAAGCCCCGGGCUCAACCUGGGAACUGCGUUUGAAACUACAAGACUAGAGUGUGGCAGAGGGGGGUGGAAUUCCGCGUGUAGCAGUGAAAUGCGUAGAGAUGUGGAGGAACACCGAUGGCGAAGGCAGCCCCCUGGGUCAACACUGACGCUCAGGCACGAAAGCAUGGGGAGCAAACAGGAUUAGAUACCCAGGUAGUCCAUGCCCUAAACGAUGUCAACUAGUUGUCGGGCCUUUACGGGCUUGGUAACGUAGCUAACGCGUGAAGUUGACCGCCUGGGGAGUACGAUCGCAAGAUUAAAACUCAAAUGAAUUGACGGGGACCCGCACAAGCGGUGGAUUAUGUGGAUUAAUUCGAUGCAACGCGAAAAACCUUACCUACCCUUGACAUGUAUCGAAGCCCGCAGAAAAGCGGGGGUGCCCGAAAGGGAACGAUAACACAGGUGCUGCAUGGCUGUCGUCAGCUCGUGUCGUGAGAUGUUGGGUUAAGUCCCGCAACGAGCGCAACCCUUGUCAUUAAUUGCCAUCAUUUAGUUGGGCACUUUAAUGAGACUGCCGG